rnacentral:rRNA from 1 species
GCCUAGCUUGCUAGGUGGAUUAGUGGCGCACGGGUGAGUAAUAUAUAGAUAAUGUGCCUCUUAGUCUGGGAUAGCCAUUGGAAACGAUGAUUAAUACUAGAUACUCCUUCUCAUUAUAAUUUGAGUUGGGAAAGUUUUUCGCUAAGAGAUCAGUCUAUAUCCCAUCAGCUUGUUGGUAGUGUAAGAGACUACCAAGGCUAUGACGGGUAGCGGGUUUGAGAGGAUGAUCCGCCACACUGGUACUGAGACACGGACCAGACUCCUACGGGAGGCAGCAGUGAGGAAUAUUGCACAAUGGGGGAAACCCUGAUGCAGCAACGCCGCGUGGAGGAUGACGCAUUUCGGUGUGUAAACUCCUUUUACGAGUCAAGAAAAUGACGGUAGCUCGUGAAUAAGCACCGGCUAACUCCGUGCCAGCAGCCGCGGUAAUACGGAGGGUGCAAGCGUUAUUCGGAAUCACUGGGCGUAAAGGACGCGUAGGCGGGAUGCCAAGUCUGAUGUGAAAUCCUAUGGCUUAACCAUAGAACUGCAUUGGAAACUGGUAACCUAGAGUAUGGGAGGGGGAGAUGGAAUUAGUGGUGUAGGGGUAAAAUCCGUAGAUAUCACUAGGAAUACCGAAAGCGAAGGCGAUCUCCUGGAACAAUACUGACGCUAAGGCGUGAAAGCGUGGGGAGCAAACGGGAUUAGAUACCCCGGUAGUCCACGCCCUAAACGAUGAACACUAGUCGUCGGAAUGCUAGUCAUUUCGGUGAUGCAC